AACGAACGCUGGCGGCAGGCUUAACACAUGCAAGUCGAACGAGAUCUUCGGAUCUAGUGGCAGACGGGUGAGGAACACGUGGGAACAUCCCUUUCAGUUCGGAAUAACGUUGGGAAACUAACGCUAAUACCGGAUACGUCCUUCGGGAGAAAGAUUUAUCGCGGAAAGAUUGGCCCGCGUCUGAUUAGCUAGUUGGUGAGGUAAUGGCUCACCAAGGCUACGAUCAGUAGCUGAUCUGAGAGGAUGAUCAGCCACAUUGGGACUGAGACACGGCCCAAACUCCUACGGGAGGCAGCAGUGGGGAAUAUUGGACAAUGGGCGCAAGCCUGAUCCAGCCAUGCCGCGUGAGUGAUGAAGGCCUUCGGGUUGUAAAGCUCUUUUAUCCGGGAAGAUAAUGACUGUACCGGAAGGAUAAGCCCCGGCAAACUUCGUGCCAGCCGCCGCGGUAAAAC
rnacentral:rRNA from 1 species